rnacentral:rRNA from 1 species
GACGUAGGGCGCGAGCGUUGUUCGGAUUCAUUGGGCGUAAAGGGUGCGUAGGUGGCGCUGUAAGUCGGGUGUGAAAUUUCGGAGCUUAACUCCGAAACUGCAUUCGAUACUGCGGUGCUUGAGGACUGGAGAGGAGACUGAAUUCAUGGUGUAGCAGUGAAAUGCGUAGAGGUCAUGAGGAAGACCAGUGGCGAAGGCGGGUCUCUGGACAGUUCCUGACACUGAGGCACGAAGGCCAGGGGAGCAAACGGG